AGAAGGAUAGAAAAUAAAUACACAGACAUUGAAACGACUCAAGCAAGGAGGGAAAAAGGUUUCAUCGAAGGAAAUGACUCGAGAAAACGAAUACAUUUGGCAGAUUACAAUUUUCAACCGACUUAUAUGUGCAGCAGAAAUGGGUGAAAAACAUUUAAAGCUCAUUGAGGUCGUUAUCCACCAUUGCCAAACACAUUGUCUCGACGAAUAAAUAAUUGUUUGGAAAAGAUUAUAACAUGUGAGGCCUAAUUUUCUGUUUUGUCCCACUGUGAGGCCUAAUUUCCUUUUGUUUAUUUAGUAAAUGCAGUCUUGCUUAAUUCAUCCUUUAAUAGGAAGAAAGAGAGUUUCAUAAGCAAAUAAAUACUAUAAAGCUCUCCUUUCUUUUUAAUUUGUCGCAACCAAUUAUAGUCGGUUAAAUGGAAUAUCCAUGAUUUUAAUUUGUGUAAUUUAGUACUAUUAUUACCUGCAUGGAAAUAAACUUGAACAGAACAUAAAAGGUUUGUCUCCACAGUUUUGUUAUGAUGUUUAAACAAAUUACAUAUUCCCAUCAGGCUCUAGAACUUUCUUAGCAGCUCUGGAUUAGAAAUAGCCUAAGGGUCGUUUGGUUUGGAACAAGUUAUCCCAUGAUUAAUUAUCCCGGGAUUAGUUAUCCCAUCCUCCCGUAGGGAUAAAAAAAUACUACAAUCCCGGAAUAAUUAAUCCGGGGUUUAGUUAUACGACGAUUUUAUCCCAACAAAAAAUGGAAUAAACUCAUCUCAAAUUUUAACUCCGAGAUUAAUUAUCCUUAUCACUCGUGCGAAACGGCUCUAAAAAUUUUAAAUGUUUGCUAUUAGGGCCACAGGUAAUUAGGCUUAUAUAAAAGCAAAUAUAGCUGCUCAUUCCAUAAAAAUACAUCACUGUUACUCGCCAAAUGAAAAUAUUAGUAAUAAUUCAUUCAAUUUUUUCCAAAAAUGCGAAGCGACAAAUCCUUUUAAAGCCAAGCUAAUUUGAUAAGUGAUUGGAAGUUGUGCUUUCAAUUCAUGACAAUGAUCCUUAUUAUAUAGAAAAAAAUUACCAUGGAAAGACCCCAAUGGUCACGAAUGAAUGAACAGUAAAAACACGGUAAGACACUUUAGUUAAACACAAUAAAUUAACAUAAAAAUUGGUAUGAGUUAAAUUUAUUAAAAUAACUGAGAAACCAAACCUAUGCUACAGAAAGACACUUAGAAAAAGGGUUUUAUUGGGUCGCUGUAUAAAUAUGCCUAUUAGGGUUAGGGUUUGCCAAAGAACAAAAGAGAAAGUAGCUAUUUAAUCUUAAUUUCCUUAAUCUCCACCACACAUAUGCCAUUUAUUUUCUCGUUGUUCGGCUGAGAACUCUCUACACUUAAGAAGAGAUGAAAAAAGUUUUGAGGAAAUCAUCAAAGGACUCCUCAAACAACUCUACAAAUUCAUCAUCGUCCUUUACUGUGAGGACAGUGAGAUAUGUAGAGUGUCAGAAGAAUCACGCCGCCAGUGUCGGCGGAUACGUCGUCGAUGGUUGCCGGGAGUUCAUGCCGGGAGCAACUGCCGGCGCCGCCCUAACUUGUGCAGCCUGUGGCUGUCACCGCAAUUUUCAUAGAAAGGAAGUGGAAACUGGUGUUGCUUCUGAUUGUACUUCUGCUUCUUCCACUCCUACAUGAAGUAAGUUUUAGUACUAUACGAGAUUUAAAUUGGAGAUCUGUAUUUGGGUAUGUGUUUGUACAUGUUUAAUUUUCUGCGUGUUCAAGAGUGAAGGUUAUUAAGAAACUAUGGGAAAGUUUCUAAUUCCUUCUCUUUUGAUUUGUAUUUGGCUUUGUUUAUAUGUGUGAAGGCGUGAGAUCGUUUGUAAUGAGUGAGCCCUUUAUAUAAUAAAUCAUAUAUUAGGGGAGAUAAGAUGUGUUUCUGUUUUGAUUAGACAUGAU
rnacentral:lncRNA from 1 species